GGGGAAGAGGGGAGAGGAGCCUACCAUGCGCUUCCCCCGGUGCUGGUCGCGGGAGAGCCCAAUCGCGGGGCGAGCUGGACCGGGAUGCGAUCAUUUAUAAUCCUAGACUCCUCCGCUCCGCCACUUGUCAGGAUGACAGGGUGGGCAUUUCAGGUCAGCUGAGUCACCCGAGGAGGCGGGAGUGCAAGACACUGGUGGAAAGAUGGAUUCCGAGGCCGAAGGGUGUAAUUAAGGAUUGCCACCCCCGGCGGGCGGCCCGCCCUUGACGAGCCUCGGAAAAUGCCCUGUGCCUUCCUUUCCCGAGAGUCUUCUCUUCUGAAACUGAAAAGCGCAAAUGACCUUCGGACGGGAGAGGGCUGCACGAAGCCCUCAGACUUCGCUACGAGCCGCAGCUCUACGCUGUAGACCUGGUGUCUGCCCCCCGGGUUCGAGUGCCGGGACCUCCGAGGAACAGGACCUGGCCAGGGCGCACCCUGGGGUCCUCUGAAGCCUCCAGACCCCCAUCCGUAUUCAAACGCGUCCUUACAGACUGUCUCUUCCGUCUCUCCUCUCUCCCUUCCCCUCCCCUCUUCCUUCUUUUCCUUCUCUAAGCAGCCCAACACUGCCCCGGUCUCGAGUUUGUUAAGAGAAGGGGAAAAAAGUUUACUGCUCUCUGCGACACAUUGCCACUUGCUACUCGCUUAAAUUCCCACUAAAACUCUAGCUGCCUGACCCCCAGUUCCUCUCCCCAGGCCCCUGGGGUGCAGAAAGCCCGCCUGCAGAGCUUCCUAAAUCUGCCCAAAGUUCUCACUCUUUGGAGUUUUGGAACCUGAAACCCGCGCCCUUCCCGGAGCCGCUCUCCGGCUCACGCGGUGAGGCGGCCGGCGUGGAGCUCGCGCGUGCGAAGGACGGGUGCGCGAGGUUCCCCGUGGGGCGCCCCGGCGUUCCCGGCCCUCCCCAGGGGCCCGCGGCCGUCCGGGCGGUGGGUGAGAGUCAGUGUUUCGGCCUGCCCCGGCCCGCUGCCAACCUGUCCCAACAGCUUGGUCGAGGGACUGCUCUGAGCCCACUGCACCUUCCCUGCAACUUCAGAGCGGGGAUAAAGACCUAUACCUAGCCUGACCCGAAGGAAGGAGAUUUGUACUUUCACCUGCGUCUGUUUGCAAAGCAAGAUCAAAUCUAGCACUCUCGAAAGCAAAGGGCAACGCCUCCUAGGAAAGCCUGAAUUUUUAUGAUCGAGUUUCUCCAAGUUUGGGGUGGAUCUCAUGUGUGAACUCCAAUUACAGUACCCAGACCCGGCCUCGAGUUCCCGUAGUUGCUAAGUGACCUAUGGAGCCACAACGUGUUAAGUCUCAGUAAUAAGCGAACCCCACCCGGCUCCUGGGGCGCUAGUGACACACCACACGGGCAUCUUUCCGGGAACAUCCCGAGUUGCCCUAGGGUGGGUGCAUCGGUUUCAUUCCUGCCACGUGCACUUCAUACUGGGGGGGGGGGGUCGGAUGCACCAUAUCUCCCUCUCCUGCUAGCUAUUCUCAUUAUCCUGAGAAAUUAGCCAGCUAUGAAAAUAUCGCAAACUGCUCAAAAUUUGCACACCUGAUAUAACCCUAAGGACACUGAAGGUAUUUCAUAAAUCAGUUUUGUGGCCCAGAUCCCACAAAAGCAUUGUGUUUGAAAACUUUUAUAACUGUCCAAGACUCCCCCUUGCUCUUUUGUACUCUGCUAUCCCGGAAUACUCAAUAAAAAGAAAAGACACUGUGCUCCAUGCCCAAAGAAGCCAGAACAGAGUGCUACAUUAGGGAAAUGGGGAGAGGUUUAAGCUCUUUUUUUUUUUCUAGAACCCUCAUAGUUAACGCUAGUAAUAAACGAAGGAAACAAUAGAACUCACAAAACUUAGAAAAGGUAAUAAAUCUUGGAGCCUGUCUCUA